GUAAAGGGACCUCACGUCUAGAAGAUGCUCGCAGUGCCCCUCUCUCUCCACCCCAGCCUCACAGUCGAGUGGACCAGUGGGCUCAAGCCGAGCCGAGCGCCAGAGCGCCCCAGCCGCCUACGCGCCUUUGCGCUCCUGGGCACCUCGGCCGGAUGGGAGCGCUUACUGGGGCUGUGCACUAGGGUAACGGCAGCGAAAAGGCACCAGGCAGCUAUGCUCGAUUUUCCGAGCCCUACUUUCUUUUCGGAGCCCGCUGGGAUUUGUAGUUCCUGCUUUCGCUGUCCAGCUCUGAGAGGGAACGUGACUUGGGGACCUAAAACUACAAGUCCCUGCAUCCCCUGCGAAGAAGGCGGGGGAGGCAAGGUACUAGACGUUCUGGUGCCCAGCGUUUGGAGAGCAACAAAGACAGCUUUUGGGACAGGGGCAGGAGAGAUGGCUUGGAGGUUAAGAGCAAUGGCUGCUCUUCCAGAGGUUGUGAGUUCAAUUCCCAGCAACCACAUGGUGGCUCACAACAAUCUAUAGUGAGAGCUGGUGCCCUGCAUAUAUGCAGGCAGAAGACUAUAUAUACAAUAA
rnacentral:lncRNA from 1 species